rnacentral:misc_RNA from 1 species
GAUGAAGAACGCAGCGAAAUGCGAUAAGUAGUGUGAAUUGCAGAAUUCAGUGAAUCAUCGAAUCUUUGAACGCACAUUGCGCCCUUUGGUAUUCCUUAGGGCAUGCCUGUUCGAGCGUCAUUUAAACCUUCAAGCUAAGCUUGGUGUUGGGUGACUGUCCGCUUCACGGCGGACUCGCCUCAAAAUUAUUGGCGGCCGGUACAUUGGCUUCGAGCGCAGCAGAAACGCGAACUCGGGCCCGUCGUAUUGGCUCCCAGAAGCUAUCUUCACAAUUUUGACCUCGGAUCAGGUAGGGAUACCCGCUGAACUUAAGCAUAUAAUAAGCGGAGGA